UACGUAGGGUGCGAGCGUUGUCCGGAAUUAUUGGGCGUAAGAGCUCGUAGGCGGUCUGUCGCGUCGGUCGUGAAACUUGGGGCUUAACCCUGAGCUUGCGGUCGAUACGGGCAUGACUGGAGUUCGGCAGGGGAGACUGGAAUUCCUGGUGUAGCGGUGAAAUGCGCAGAUAUCAGGAGGAACACCGGUGGCGAAGGCGGGUCUCUGGGCCGAAAUUGACGCUGAGGAGCGAAAGCGUGGGGAGCGAACAGG
rnacentral:rRNA from 1 species